AUGAAAUCGAAAACACAUUAUUUAUUUUCAAAACAAAACAAACCAAAGUCGCAUCUCAUUAUUCUAUUCAACUCUAUUACUCUAAUCUAUUUCAGACACUCUUUACUAUUCCUAUUUUCAUUCUUCAUUCUUCUUCUUCUAUGGACUCCAACAAAUCAAUGAAACACCAAGAUGAACAACAACAAAAAACAUCCAUCACUACUUCCAAACCCAUAACAAGAUCCGAACCCGGUAACCCAUACCCGACAACAUUUGUUCAAGCCGACACUACUUCCUUCAAACAAGUUGUUCAAAUGUUAACAGGAUCCUCGGAAACAGCUAAACAAGCUUCCAAAUCAAAUAACAACAUUCCACCCAUCAAAUCUCUACCCAAAAAACAACACCAAUCUUUCAAACUCUACGAAAGAAGAAACUCACUUCACAAAAACCUUAACAUAAACCCUUUAUUACCUAUUUUUUCCCCAAAAAACAAUUCAACUUUCUCACCAAGAAAUAAACAAGAGAUCUUGUCACCAAGUAUCCUCGAUUUUCCCGCGCUUGUUCUUAGUCCUGUUACUCCACUUAUACCCGACCCCUUUGACCGAUCCAACUCUGCUAGAACUUCUUCUUUCAACGCUGAAGCUGAAGAAGAUAAAGCUAUUAAAGAAAAAGGUUUCUUUUUGCAUCCUUCUCCUUCUUCAACUCCUCGUGACGCUGAACCUCGUUUGUUACCUCUUUUUCCUACUACUUCUCCUAGAUCUAAUUCAGGUUUGGAAGUUUGCUUGCUAUAUGAAGUCAAACAAGCUUGAUGAUGUUAAGAUAAGAUCAAUAAAUCCAUUCAUUCACGGCGUGAGAAGACAAGUACAAUGAAAGAGGACAUGUGAAAGGGAAGAAGGAGAGAGGAAGUGGGACUUAUGAUGAUGAAAAGGAAGAAAAAGAUGGGAAAUAUAGAACGGAAAGACAAGGUGUUGAGAUGAACUCUUUAUGCCUCUUGUUUGUUUGUAUGUGUUAUGUGCAUGAUUUUAUGUGGACUUUGCAGCUCAUGGUUGGUGGUGAAUUUAUUAUAAUUUUGAAACUUAACAUGUGCUCUGUUCGAAUGCCCUUGCCCUUGCGUUCAAGCUCAUCUUCUAUUCUUUCCCUUUCUUAAUCAUUUUUUAGAAAAAUAUACAACAUGUCACAUGUGGCAUGUUUUGAUUUGAUGUGUUA